rnacentral:rRNA from 1 species
UGGGGAAUUUUGGACAAUGGGGGAAACCCUGAUCCAGCCAUCCCGCGUGUGCGAUGAAGGCCUUCGGGUUGUAAAGCACUUUUGGCAGUAAAGAAACGUCAUGGGUUAAUACCCCGUGAAACUGACGGUACCUGCAGAAUAAGCACCGGCUAACUACGUGCCAGCAGCCGCGGUAAUACGUAGGGUGCAAGCGUUAAUCGGAAUUACUGGGCGUAAAGCGUGCGCAGGCGGUUCGGAAAGAAAGAUGUGAAAUCCCAGAGCUCAACUUUGGAACUGCAUUUUUAACUACCGGGAUAGAGUGUAUCAGAGGGAGGUGGAAUUCCGCGUGUAGCAGUGAAAUGCGUGGAUAUGCGGAGGAACACCGAUGGCGAAGGCAGCCUCCUGGGAUAACACUGACGCUCAUGCACGAAAGCGUGGGGAGCAAACAGG